UACGGAGGGAGCUAGCGUUGUUCGGAAUCACUGGGCUUAAAGGGAGCGUAGGCGGGCUAUCAAGUCUGGGGUGAAAUCCCACGGCUCAACCGUGGAACUGCCUUAGAUACUGACGGCCUCGAGGGAGAUAGGGGCAUGCGGAACUGUAGGUGGAGCGGUGAAAUGCGUUGAUAUCUACAGGAACUCCGGUGGCGAAAGCGGCGUGCUGGAUCUCUUCUGACGCUGAGGCUCGAAAGCUAGGGGAGCAAACGGG
rnacentral:rRNA from 1 species